rnacentral:tRNA from 1 species
GCUCAGUUGGUUAAGCGUCCGACUCUUGAUUUUGGCUCAAGUCAUGGUUUGUGGGUUCGAGCCCUGCAUUGGGCU